rnacentral:rRNA from 1 species
UACGGAGGGUGCGAGCGUUGUCCGGAAUCACUGGGCGUAAAGGGCGCGUAGGCGGCCUGAUAAGUAGGGGGUGAAAUCCUGCGGCUUAACCGCAGGGCUGCCUUCUAAACUGUCGGGCUCGAGCACAGUAGAGGCAGGUGGAAUUCCCGGUGUAGCGGUGGAAUGCGUAGAGAUGCGGAGGAACACCGAUGGCGAAGGCAGCCCCCUGGGCCGACACUGACGCUCAGGCACGAAAGCGUGGGGAGCAAACAGG